rnacentral:rRNA from 1 species
GAUGAACGCUGGCGGCGUGCCUAAUACAUGCAAGUCGAGCGAACAGACGAGGAGCUUGCUCCUCUGACGUUAGCGGCGGACGGGUGAGUAACACGUGGAUAACCUACCUAUAAGACUGGGAUAACUUCGGGAAACCGGAGAUAAUACCGGAUAAUAUAUUGAACCGCAUGGUUCAAUAGUGAAAGACGGUUUUGCUGGCACUUAUAGAUGGAUCCGCGCCGCAUUAGCUAGUUGGUAAGGUAACGGCUUACCAAGGCAACGAUGCGUAGCCGACCUGAGAGGGUGAUCGGCCACCCUGGAACUGAGACACGGUCCAGACUCCUACGGGAGGCAGCAGUAGGGAAUCUUCCGCAAUGGGCGAAAGCUUGACGGAGCAACGCCGCGUGAGUGAUGAAGGUCUUCGGAUCGUAAAACUCUGUUAUUAGGGAAGAACAAAUGUGUAAGUAACUAUGCACGUCUUGACGGUACCUAAUCAGAAAGCCACGGCUAACUACGUG